UACGAAGGGUGCGAGCGUUGUUCGGAAUUAUUGGGCGUAAAGCGCGUGUAGGCGGACUGUUAGGUCAGGUGUGAAAUCUCGGGGCUCAACCUCGAAACUGCGCCUGAAACUGAUAGUCUAGAAUUCUAGCGGGGAAAGGGGAAUUUCUCAUGUAGGGGUAAAAUCCGUAGAUAUGAGAAGGAACACCUGAGGCGAAAGCGCCUUUCUGGAUAGAUAUUGACGCUGAUACGCGAAAGCGUGGGGAGCAAACAGG
rnacentral:rRNA from 1 species